rnacentral:lncRNA from 1 species
CUUGGAGUGAGACACUAUACUAACUCUGGAGUUCUUAUAGUUAACCAGGAGUUUGAGGUUCUCCAGUGGAGACAGACAAGAAACAAGUUAGCAAUAUGUGACAAGCCCUAAAAGACUCAAGGGAAAAGGAUGCUGGCAGUGGGGGGUGGGGACGGGUGCAGUUCUGAGAAGGUUAGACAAGGUUUCCCAGACUUUAAUGUAAAUAUAUUUUCUUGAGUCUUCAUUUCAUCAAUAACACCAAUCAACAGUCUUAUAUAUUGUGAGUUUUGCUGUUCUCUCCUUUAUGCCAGGGAUCAUUCUUGGUGUUUGGGGAUUUAUUUGAUAAUUAAACUAUGUGAUCAGUGAAGCAAAUAGAGGAUGACUUUCUUUGGGGAAGAAAGGAUUGGUAGAUAUUUAAGUUGGUAUGGGUGCUGUGAGAUGAGCCAAAUGAAAUUUUGAACUGGUGAAGGAGCACACUUUGUCUUACUAACACCUCAUAGGUGGCUAGGCUGAGGGUUACAGUAACACGAUCGUGUAGCUGUUCAAGUUCUUGGAAGUACUGAACCUGGGAAUGACUGUACAUUUUUAUUCUUUUAUCUUUAUGAGGUGUUUGAGUUGUGUGUUGUCUUGGAGAAUUUUGCACGAUAAGCUUUCACUGAGAUAUUGAUAGAAGGAUCUCGUCUGUAAUAAGAACAUUCAUUCCAGGAGAAUAGGUCUGGGCUGAUGUGGUGAUGUGGAUAGAUCCACCUGCAUACCUGCCGUCAUGUUCAGAGCAGCAGGAGAGAGACAACGGAGGGGAGGAGUCCUGUGAACAUCUACUGAAGGCUUCCUGAGAUCACAGAGGCAUGGGUUAAGACGGCAGAGUCACAAGAUGGAAGAAGAAUGGAUCUUGAACUACCACACGGAUGAGAUCCGCUCUGGAGAUCAUGCAACCUGUAUCAGAUACAUUGAAGAAUUCUUCUGCGGUCAUUCUCAGCACCCCAUGUCGGAAUGACAUUGCUGCAGUUGCCUACACACAUUUGCAAUUGACAGAUCCUGUCAAUAGCAUGAGUCACUCUCGCUACAUAAACGAAGCCAGAAAUAUUGAGACCAAUAUGAACUGGAAGUUACCUGAUGGGGCCAAAACAAUUCUCUGUGGAUUGAAAACACGAAGGUUGAGAGGUGGACAUGAAGGCCUGAGAAGAGACCACCCCUGGGGAUAUAGAUGUGUGAGAUAUUUAGCAAUUUAAUUAAGUCGGUAUCUACAUGUAUCUACUUGUACACCUAUUAUCUGAGUUAACUCCAUAAUACCUGUGUCUGCAUAUCUGUAUAUUUAUGUCCAUUAACAAAUGAUCUGGAAAUUUGAUAGAUGCUAAGAACACAGUUGUUACAAAAAGAAGAUAAUCAGGUUAUCUUUAAUGAACCUAUUAAGAUCAUAUUUCUCUAGUAUCGGUGAUAACAAUUUUAUUAAUAAUAGUGUCAUAUAGGUGAUUCCCUAAAUCAUGGUGCCUAAACAAUGGUUUAGACCGCUGAAAUUUAUUUUUUAAAAAUAACCAUACAGGUCUAAUUCAUGAUUGUAAACAAGAUGGUCUAAAUUUUGGAAUCCACUAGAGUUCCAUCCUUGGCUCUUCUUCAAGCGUCAUCUAUUCUUUACGGGUGACCCCAUUUACUAUGUCAGCUUCGACUGGUCUGUAUACACCAUCAACCUCUGAUUCUGCAUCCAUCAUUCCUCCUGUUCCUGGAUUCUCUUUUUCAUUGUAAAAACCUACUGGACACAAGUGUUUAUCAUCUGAAACUCAGUGUAUCACCUGAAUCCCAGCAAAUCCAAUAAAUCUCUCCUCACUUUGCCCUUUUGGCUCUCU